AAAAAUUGGUCUCCUUUUCAAAAUUCCCCUUUUCUUUUUUUUUUCUUUUCAAUUUGAUUUUUUUGUUGCAAAAAGCUCUGGGAGAUUUGUAUCACAACACGAAUGGA
rnacentral:ribozyme from 13 species